rnacentral:rRNA from 1 species
UUGAACGCUGGCGGCAUGCCUUACACAUGCAAGUCGAACGGUAACGCGGGGCAACCUGGCGACGAGUGGCGAACGGGUGAGUAAUGCAUCGGAACGUGCCCAGUAGUGGGGGAUAGCCCGGCGAAAGCCGGAUUAAUACCGCAUACGACCUACGGGUGAAAGCGGGGGACCGCAAGGCCUCGCGCUAUUGGAGCGGCCGAUGUCGGAUUAGCUAGUUGGUGGGGUAAAGCCUACCAAGGCGACGAUCCGUAGCUG